CAGUCGCCGCGGUAAUACGAGGGGGGCAAGCGUUGCUCGGAAUGACUGGGCGUAAAGGGCGCGUAGGCGGAUUGUUUAGUUAGGCGUGAAAUUCCUGGGCUUAACCUGGGGACUGCGCUUAAUACAGGCAGUCUAGAGUGAGGAAGAGGGUUGUGGAAUUCCCAGUGUAGAGGUGAAAUUCGUAGAUAUUGGGAAGAACACCGGUGGCGAAGGCGGCAACCUGGUCCUUGACUGACGCUGAGGCGCGAAAGCGUGGGGAGCAAACAGGAUUAGAUACCCCUGUAGUCCCUGUCUCUUAUAC
rnacentral:rRNA from 1 species